rnacentral:misc_RNA from 1 species
GAUGAAGAACGUAGCGAAAUGCGAUAAGUAGUGUGAAUUGCAGAAUUCAGUGAAUCAUCGAAUCUUUGAACGCACAUUGCGCCCCUUGGUAUCCCGAGGGGCAUGCCUGUUCGAGCGUCAUUUCACCACUCAAGCCUGGCUUGGUGUUGGGCGACGUCCUCUUUGGGGACGCGCCUCGAAACGCUCGGCGGCGUGGCACCGGCUUUAAGCGUAGCAGAAUCUUUCGCUUUGGAAGUCGGGGCCCCGUCUGCCGGAAGACCUGCUCGCACGGUUGACCUCGGAUCAGGCAGGGAUACCCGCUGAACUUAAGCAUAUCAAUAAGCGGAGGA